UACGUAGGGUGCAAGCAUUAAUCGGAUUUAUUGGGCGUAAAGGGCGCGUAGGCGGGGAUUUAAGUCAGAUGUGAAAUCCUGGAGCUCAACUCCAGAACAGCAUUUGAAACUGGAUUUCUAGAGGGUAGGCGGAGAAAACGGAAUUCCACAAGUAGCGGUGAAAUGCGUAGAUAUGUGGAAGAACACCAGUGGCGAAGGCGGUUUUCUAGCUUACACCUGACGCUGAUGCGCGAAAGCAAGGGGAG
rnacentral:rRNA from 1 species